rnacentral:rRNA from 1 species
GCGGCAUGCUUUACACAUGCAAGUCGGACGGCAGCACAGAGAAGCUUGCUUCUUGGGUGGCGAGUGGCGAACGGGUGAGUAAUAUAUCGGAACGUACCGAGUAAUGGGGGAUAACUAAUCGAAAGAUUAGCUAAUACCGCAUAUUCUCUGAGGAGGAAAGCAGGGGACCUUCGGGCCUUGCGUUAUUCGAGCGGCCGAUAUCUGAUUAGCUAGUUGGUGGGGUAAAGGCCUACCAAGGCGACGAUCAGUAGCGGGUCUGAGAGGAUGAUCCGCCACACUGGGACUGAGACACGGCCCAGACUCCUACGGGAGGCAGAGUGGGGAAUUUUGGACAAUGGGCGCAAGCCUGAUCCAGCCAUGCCGCGUGUCUGAAGAAGGCCUUCGGGUUGUAAAGGACUUUUGUCAGGGAAGAAAAGGCUGUUGCUAAUACCGACAGCUGAUGACGGUACCUGAAGAAUAAGCACGGCUAUCACUUCAU